GGGGUUGUGGCUCAGUGGGAGAGCACUCGCCUAGCAUGUGUGAGGCCCUGGGUUCAAUCCUCAGCACCACA
rnacentral:tRNA from 1 species